CGGGGGCACGGGGGGCGUACGGGAGCCAGCAUUAGGUAAUAUAGGUCAAUGGUUGAAAGCAGACCCAUCCAUGCCGCAGCAGGCAGAAGGCCUUUAGGGCCCAAACUGCCUCCCCCCGAAUAAGUUGCAUGGGAGGAGGGGGAGGAAGGG
rnacentral:rRNA from 1 species